GAUGAACGCUCGCGGGAGGCCUAACACAUGCAAGCCGAGCGGUAUUUGUUCUUCGGAACAGUGAGAGCGGCGCACGGGUGCGGAACACGUGUGCAACCUGCCUUUAUCUGGGGGAUAGCCUUUCGAAAGGAAGAUUAAUACCCCAUAAUAUAUUGAGUGGCAUCACUUGAUAUUGAAAACUCCGGUGGAUAGAGAUGGGCACGCGCAAGAUUAGAUAGUUGGUGAGGUAACGGCUCACCAAGUCAAUGAUCUUUAGGGGGCCUGAGAGGGUGAUCCCCCACACUGGUACUGAGACACGGACCAGACUCCUACGGGAGGCAGCAGUGAGGAAUAUUGGACAAUGGGUUAGCGCCUGAUCCAGCCAUCCCGCGUGAAGGACGACGGCCCUAUGGGUUGUAAACUUCUUUUGUAUAGGGAUAAACCUACUCUCGUGAGAGUAGCUGAAGGUACUAUACGAAUAAGCACCGGCUAACUCCGUG
rnacentral:rRNA from 1 species